GAUGAAGAACGUAGCGAAAUGCGAUAAGUAAUGUGAAUUGCAGAAUUCAGUGAAUCAUCGAAUCUUUGAACGCACAUUGCGCCCGCCAGCAUUCUGGCGGGCAUGCCUGUUCGAGCGUCAUUUCAACCCUCGAGCCCCCCCGGGGGCCUCGGUGUUGGGGGACGGCACACCAGCCGCCCCCGAAAUGCAGUGGCGACCCCGCCGCAGCCUCCCCUGCGUAGUAGCACACACCUCGCACCGGAGCGCGGAGGCGGUCACGCCGUAAAACGCCCAACUUUCUUAGAGUUGACCUCGGAUCAGGUAGGAAUACCCGCUGAACUAAAGCAUAUCAAUAAGCGGAGGA
rnacentral:misc_RNA from 1 species